CGUAACAAGGUAGCUGUAGGUGAACCUGCGGAAGGAUCAUUAUUGAGCUUAUCCUUUAUUAUUUACACAAUAUUCGAAAUUGUGCUGUCCAUGUUUCUAGGCACAUUCGUUUGCUUAACGGCUUUAAAUGGUUUCUGUAGAUGUUGGGAGCAGUUGUAUGAGCGUGACUGUGAUGAUUAACAUUUUACGUUAGAAGUGAUUCGCUUGUAAUCGCGGACAAUGAGAAUUAAAGAAGUCGGCAAGACUCGCCUUUUUUACAAAACUCUUAUUAACGUUUUGACAAUUUUAAGUCACCAAAACGUUUCAUUGGUGCAUCUAAUAUUUAUCAAGUCUUAUCGGCGGAUCAUUCGGUUCGUAGUUCGAUGAAAAACGGGGCAAAAACCGUUAUUUGGCGUGAAUCGCAGACAUAUUGAACGCUAAAAUUUUGAACGCAAAUGGCACUAACAGGUUUAUAUCUGUUGGUAUGUUUGGUUGAGGGUCGAUUAAUACGUUACUUGCAGUCUGCUGUGACUGUUCUUUCGAUUAGCUACUCGGUCUCGAGUACCUUUUCGGUAUGAUCGUGCUUUUACGAUAGUUUAAUGGGUGCCUCUUUUCGGAGAGGUAUCUGCUAUCUGUCGGUUCUGUGCGUAGUAUAUAUGGUCGGUGUUGGUGCGUUUCUUGCCAACUGUCUUGUACGUUUAGGCGUAUGUAGUUUCAUGAAGGCAGUGCACUGCCUUUGUUGACACAACACGUUUCGUUGGUUAACUUUACGCUUUGAAUCUUUCGAUUUAUUCGAUUUACGACCUCAACUCAAGCAAGAUUACCCGCUGAACUUAAGCAUAUCAUUUAGCGGAGGAA
rnacentral:rRNA from 1 species